rnacentral:tRNA from 1 species
CGGAGUAUAGCAUAUGUAAUGCUUUUUACUUACACUAAAAAAAAAGUUAAAAACUUGCUCCGC